AUUGAACGCUGGCGGCAUGCCUUACACAUGCAAGUCGAACGGUAACGGGCCUUCGGGUGCCGACGAGUGGCGAACGGGUGCGUAAUACAUCGGAACGUGCCCGAUCGUGGGGGAUAACGAGGCGAAAGCUUUGCUAAUACCUCAUACGAUCUACGGAUGAAAGCCGGGGACCGCAAGGCCUUGCGCGGACGGAGCGGCCGAUGGCAGAUUAGGUAGUUGGUGGGAUAAAAGCUUACCAAGCCGACGAUCUGUAGCUGGUCUGAGAGGAUGAUCAGCCACACUGGGACUGAGACACGGCCCAGACUCCUACGGGAGGCAGCAGUGGGGAAUUUUGGACAAUGGGCGCAAGCCUGAUCCAGCCAUGCCGCGUGCAGGAUGAAGGCCUUCGGGUUGUAAACUGCUUUUGUACGGAAAGAAAAGCCUUCUUUUAAUACAGGAGGGUCAUGACGGUACCGUAAGAAUAAGCACCGGCUAACUACGUG
rnacentral:rRNA from 1 species